rnacentral:rRNA from 1 species
UUGGACAAUGGUAGGAGAGCGUUCUAAGGGCGUUGAAGCAUGAUCGUAAGGACAUGUGGAGCGCUUAGAAGUGAGAAUGCCGGUGUGAGUAGCGAAAGACGGGUGAGAAUCCCGUCCACCGAUUGACUAAGGUUUCCAGAGGAAGGCUCGUCCGCUCUGGGUUAGUCGGGUCCUAAGCUGAGGCCGACAGGCGUAGGCGAUGGAUAACAGGUUGAUAUUCCUGUACCACCUAUAAUCGUUUUAAUCGAUGGGGGGACGCAGUAGGAUAGGCGAAGCGUGCGAUUGGAUUGCACGUCUAAGCAGUAAGGCUGAGUAUUAGGCAAAUCCGGUACUCAUUAAGGCUGAGCUGUGAUGGGGAGAAGACAUUGUGUCUUCGAGUCGUUGAUUUCACACUGCCGAGAAAAGCCUCUAGAUAGAAAAUAGGUGCCCGUACCGCAAACCGACACAGGUAGUCAAGAUGAGAAUUCUAAGGUGAGCGAGCGAACUCUCGUUAAGGAACUCGGCAAAAUGACCCCGUAACUUCGGGAGAAGGGGUGCUCUUUAGGGUUAACGCCCAGAAGAGCCGCAGUGAAUAGGCCCAAGCGACUGUUUAUCAAAAACACAGGUCUCUGCUAAACCGUAAGGUGAUGUAUAGGGGCUGACGCCUGCCCGGUGCUGGAAGGUUAAGAGGAGUGGUUAGCUUCUGCGAAGCUACGAAUCGAAGCCCCAGUAAACGGCGGCCGUAACUAUAACGGUCCUAAGGUAGCGAAAUUCCUUGUCGGGUAAGUUCCGACCCGCACGAAAGGCGUAACGAUUUGGGCACUGUCUCAACGAGAGACUCGGUGAAAUCAUAGUACCUGUGAAGAUGCAGGUUACCCGCGACAGGACGGAAAGACCCCGUGGAGCUUUACUGUAGCCUGAUAUUGAAAUUCGGCACAGCUUGUACAGGAUAGGUAGGAGCCUUUGAAACGUGAGCGCUAGCUUACGUGGAGGCGCUGGUGGGAUACUACCCUAGCUGUGUUGGCUUUCUAACCCGCACCACUUAUCGUGGUGGGAGACAGUGUCAGGCGGGCAGUUUGACUGGGGCGGUCGCCUCCUAAAAGGUAACGGAGGCGCUCAAAGGUUCCCUCAGAAUGGUUGGAAAUCAUUCAUAGAGUGUAAAGGCAUAAGGGAGCUUGACUGCGAGACCUACAAGUCGAGCAGGGUCGAAAGACGGACUUAGUGAUCCGGUGGUUCCGCAUGGAAGGGCCAUCGCUCAACGGAUAAAAGCUACCCCGGGGAUAACAGGCUUAUCUCCCCCAAGAGUUCACAUCGACGGGGAGGUUUGGCACCUCGAUGUCGGCUCAUCGCAUCCUGGGGCUGUAGUCGGUCCCAAGGGUUGGGCUGUUCGCCCAUUAAAGCGGUACGCGAGCUGGGUUCAGAACGUCGUGAGACAGUUCGGUCCCUAUCCGUCGUGGGCGUAGGAAAUUUGAGAGGAGCUGUCCUUAGUACGAGAGGACCGGGAUGGACAUACCUCUGGUGUACCAGUUGUCGUGCCAACGGCAUAGCUGGGUAGCUAUGUGUGGACGGGAUAAGUGCUGAAAGCAUCUAAGCAUGAAGCCCCCCUCAAGAUGAGAUUUCCCAACUUCGGUUAUAAGAUCCCUCAAAGAUGAUGAGGUUAAUAGGUUCGAGGUGGAAGCAUGGUGACAUGUGGAGCUGACGAAUACUAAUCGAUCGAAGACUUAAUCAA